rnacentral:rRNA from 1 species
AAACGAGUAUUCCCUGAGAACCGUGGAAGACGACCACGUUGAUAGGCCGGGUGUGGAAGAGCGGCAACGCUUGAAGCUUACCGGUACUAAUAGUUCGAUCGGCUUGAUCGUUCUCAUU